UACGAAGGGGGCUAGCGUUGCUCGGAAUCACUGGGCGUAAAGCGCACGUAGGCGGAUUGCUAAGUCAGGGGUGAAAUCCUGGAGCUCAACUCCAGAACUGCCUUUGAUACUGAGAGUCUUGAGUUCGGGAGAGGUGAGUGGAACUGCGAGUGUAGAGGUGAAAUUCGUAGAUAUUCGCAAGAACACCAGUGGCGAAGGCGGCUCACUGGCCCGGUACUGACGCUGAGGCGCGAAAGCGUGGGGAGCAAACAGG
rnacentral:rRNA from 1 species